rnacentral:rRNA from 1 species
CCUACGGGUGGCAGCAGUGAGGAAUAUUGGUCAAUGGACGCAAGUCUGAACCAGCCAUGCCGCGUGCAGGAUGACGGCUCUAUGAGUUGUAAACUGCUUUUGUACGAGGAUAAACCGCGAUACGUGUAUCGGGUUGAAAGUAUCGUACGAAUAAGGAUCGGCUAACUCCGUGCCAGCAGCCGCGGUAAUACGGAGGAUCCGAGCGUUAUCCGGAUUUAUUGGGUUUAAAGGGUGCGUAGGCGGUUUGUUAAGUCAGAGGUGAAAUGUUGUGGCUCAACCCUGAAAUUGCCUCUGAUACUGGUGGACUUGAGAAUAGUUGCGGUAGGCGGAAUGUAUGGUGUAGCGGUGAAAUGCUUAGAGAUCAUACAGAACACCGAUUGCGAAGGCAGCCUACCAAACUAUAUCUGACGUUGAGGCACGAAAGCGUGGGGAGCAAACAGGAUUAGAUACCCCAGUAGUC